rnacentral:tRNA from 1 species
GCAGCGGUGGUUCCGUGGUAGAAUUCUCUCCUUCCAUGUGGGAGACCUGAGUUCAAUUCCCAGCCAAUGCA